GCGGAACUCAGUCGUGUCAGGCGGACCAGAAACACAUGUUGUUUUCAGGGGGACUCAUAACACGGUUGUACACUAUGUCGUCUCUCAGCUGACAGCUUCAUGUUUAAGGGAUGUGUGAGGCAGAGAAGAAGGACCUGUAUGCUGUCCUGGGAGCCAGCCCCUCAGACUCAGCCCAGCAGCUCAAACACAGAUACCAGCAGCUGGCCUUACAGUACCACCCAGACCGUCUUAGAGGUGAGUGUUCUUCAGAGGCAGAGUCUGGUGUGAAGAAGUUUCUGGAAAUUGAUGCAGCCUGGAGGAUCCUUAGAGACCAGAGCACCAGGAGACAGUAUGACCUGCAGAGGAGAGCACAGGAACUGAAACAGGAUUGGCCGGUAGAUUCCACAGUCUAUCUGGAGGACAUGACCUGGGACCAGGAUGAGUGUGUGUAUACACACUGUUGUCGCUGUGGAGGAGCAUUCAUCAUUUCAGAGGAGGAGGUGGAGGAGGAGACACAGAGGAGGCAGCAGGAUGAUGAAGAGGAGGAGACGGUGGAGGGACAGCACAGAGGAGUGGUCAUCUGCUGUGAUACAUGCUCCCUCAGUGUGUACGUCACAUGGUCACUACACAGAAAGACUCCAGCGUCAAAAUGCCAAGAAUAAUACCUGCUCAGAAACCUUUCGCCUCUGACACUGAGGAGCAGAUGUUUGUUCAACAUGUCUCUUCUUGGAAGGCACCAAAUGAACAAAGCAUGUUGUGGGUUGGUGGACGUGGACAGUGUAAGAGUUGUCCUCUGUUGGAUCUGACUCCCUGUGUUUGUACGGGGUAGUGAAGAUGACUGAUGCCUGACCAUCCUUCCCUUUGGAAGCAGCAGCUUAUCAGCAGCGAGUGCUGUUUGUAUGUUCGGCUGCCUGGUACUAUGGCAACAGGCAGCGCGGUUUCACCGCCGCUGCACAGUCAGUGUAAAGCUUAUUGCUUUUUAUACAUGUUCUGUUUAUGGUACAAUGUCCCAUAAAGCAAAAUAAGAGCUCACGGUGUGAACCUGUGAUACAAGUGCAGUUCAUUUUUUUGAGAGUAUACCUGUGAGGUUUUACUCAGGCAGAGUGAGGGGCGUCUGUAGACUCUGGGGUCCUCCCUACGUGUCUCAACCUGCCUGCUGGCUGGCGUGAUGCUGCUUAGCAUACCUGAUGCUCAUCAAGCACAUCACUCACAGACACGCACAGCAGAUAACCAGCAGCUAAUCUGGUGUUAACAUUUAAAGCAGAUGUGGGAACAUGGGUAAUGUGUUCAUACGGUGUCAUUUGCAAAAUUUGAUAUAGAUGCUGAACAGAUGAUGCUAAACAUUAUGUGAUUAACAUUUAUUAAAAUUACACUAGCAGUACACUUUGUAGUACUGCAUCCACAGAGCACACUGUCAGCAUAAACAUCUUUAAUUUCACCCCAGAUUCCAGAGGAAAAAAUAACGUUCAUCUGAAUCAAUCAGCAAGUCACCAACAGUGAAAACAGUGAACUAAGAAACAUUUACAGUGAUGAAGUAAAGAAGAACGAGUUCCUCUUUUUUUUCCUGGUGUUCCAUCUGAUUAAAAGCAAAAAAAGAGUAAAAAAGCAAAUCAUUUGUAUAGUGAAACUAUCCUAUGACCCUGAAAAAUUAUCCUGUGACCUCCUACGGUCCUGACCCCCAGGUUUAGAACCGGUCCCCUAAAUGACAGCGCUAUUCUCCUCACAGCGGGGCUGCGACAGACACACAAAGGGAUAAAGGCUGGUAAUGACUCUGCUCCCUCUCUGGUCACUCAGCCUGCAAAGGUCACAGCUGACAGAGGCUCCAAGUGAUGAUCGUCUCUCAUCUAUUAUCCCCCCUAAUCCAUCCAUCCAUCCAUCCAUCCAUAUCUGCCCUCUUCACAGAGAGGAGGUGAAGAAGAAGGGAGGAGGGCAGAGAAAGUUAAGCAUCAUCAAAAUCAGCAGCAGUGGUCAGCGGUGG